CAACAGACUCUUCCUGAAGAGCAGAAGGGGUCAGGAAGGAGCCGCAGAGUCGUGGAGCAGGGAGGCGCCGCGUGACUCAGUCCGGGUCUGCAGCACACCUCCUUGCUGAGCAAGGAGCCGCUCUGAGCGCAAUGGCCCAGAAGGGCCCCCGAGUCCAGCCUGGUGGCUCGAGUGGGUAGGACUGGGUCUCACCGGUUACACGGGGGUCGACUCCUGUGGGAGCUUCAGGUGACUCAAAGAUCACCAGUGCUAAAGGAUCUGCCUGCAAUGCAGGAGGCACGUGGGAUCUUCGCCCCCGACCGUGGAUUCAACCCACUCCCCCUGCACCGAAAGGCAAGGCAGACUCUUAACUGCUGAGCCACUGGGAAAGCCGCGUACCAGCAGGUCACCAUGGGCAAAGGUGAGCGAUCGAGGGGAAAGCGUGCACGAGAGCAGAGAGACAAGCCAAGGCCGGAGGCUGUUUCCAUCGCGGCAAACCCGCCUCCUCUGCGGGUUCUGUGGGAGUUCCCGCUGCCCAUGGAAUCGCUCUGACACGCCGACCUGUGGUGAAUGUGGGUCUCCUGGUCUCGGCGGGCGGGUGAGUCAUCGCCCAUCGUCUCUUUGCUGGAGAGGAGGUUCCUUGAGGGCAGAAGUCAUGCCUCACUGUCACCCAGAGAGCCUGACGUGUAGGCCCUCAUCAGCAGUGUCUACCGGAGCAGACGGAAUAAAACUGCCCUCCAGCGCCUGAGAGCAGCUCUGCUCCUGCUCUCCUCACUGGGCUCCCCACACGGGGUGAACAGGUGUGACGACACGAAGGCGGGCGUGAGUCAGACCCAGGCUCUGUUUCCCAGGCUUCACCCCGCCAUCCCACGUCCAGGUCGCCUUCAUCUUGUGCUCGGAGGUGUGUGCCCCGGAAUGCCUCGUUCUUGCUCUGCCACCACGGACGUGGGCCACAGCCCACUGCUCCCGUCCUCCUGGCAGAUGGCUGGGCACAGUGGUAACACCACGUCUCACGCAUUGAAGACUUACAUCUCCCCUGACUCUACUGUCUCCAGAAUCGGAUGUGUCUCAUAGUCGAUGCAGAGGCUUUAUUUAACUGCCCCUUAUUAUCUCCUUUCUUAGCAGUGCCCCAAAUAACGGUGAGUCACGGAGCUGACAGCUGCCCAAGAUCCGGAAACACUGUUACUCACGCUUGCUGAGUGUCUAUCACGCAUCGGCCAUGGGUCUGCGAGUUCUAACCGCUGCACUCCUCCCGGCAAGCCUGCAUCCCACGUGCGGUUACUGUGCCGGCCCUGUAGACAGUCCCAGGCAGGGAGGGGAGAAGGAACUUCCUGUCUUCACAGGACCCCAAGCUGGGACAUGUCAGGGCUGAGAUUUGAACCUAAGCCAUCAGGUGCCAGACCAUAAGCAGUGGUUUUAAUCAAAGCCACUUCACCAGGGUUUUCCCCGGACCUUGCUGCACCCAUGGCCUCACCCAUCACGUUGCAAUGUUGCCCAGGCUCGAUAGCGCAGUGAGGAAAAUGCAGGGGCGACUCGGAUGCAGCGAGAUAUUCCACAAGCGUGUAGCUGGCUUGUGUGCUUGUGCUCAGAAAACUUCGUGAGAUCCAAGUCAGAUGUUGAGAUGGUACGGCAUGCCUUGGGUUCUUCCUAAGGUGAGACAGAAGCCCCGUGGAGCUGGCAGGGAGCUGCCCUGGAAGCCGGGCUUGUCCAACUUGCAGGAGGAAGGUUCAGGGUCCUGCGUGCAGGAAGUAUGAGGUCUCAGGGGCCUCGGGGGCCUCGGGGAGCCUCACCCCAUGUAAUGUAGCUGCCGAGGAUGUCACAGUGCCCUUGGAGACCGUGUUUGCAGGCUCCAGGGGGACCAGCCGGGAGACCCAGGGCCUCCUGGUGGCUGCCUGGACUCAGGCAACCCAGAUCCACACCCCAAAUCUGCCGUCUGUUCCCACACGCUUCUGAGGGGAUGUUGGGCCUCUCUCUCUGUGCCUGGGUCUCUGGGCCCGUAUAGCGGGAGUGACCGUGAUGUCUUCCUCAAUGUCGUGGUGAGAAUUCAGUGGUAAAUACACCCACUGUCCUUGGCUGGUCCCGGUCCAACAACGUCUUCAUGGCCACGAUCGUCACCACCCAGCCUGAACUGUGGUUCGUGCUGCCUCUCAAACCGGGACCAACACUGUGCCGAGCCCGUCCCUGAAAUCCUCAAAUUCCUCGCUGGUUAUUGGGUCAUCUCUGUCUCCCCCUUGACCUCCUCCCCCACCCCUACAACCAUCCAUGGCUGCCGGGGGUGGGGGUGGGCAUUUUCCUGAUUGCAGUGGACUCUGUGGGUUACGAUAAAUCCAUGACACGGUGCGGUUUGGUGUUAAUUUCAGGUCCAGGUCCCAUUCUGAGAGCUUCAACUCCCAGAUGAAGGUUUAGUUUAACUGGGAAGAGAAGCUGCGUUUUGUUCUUACCCUCUGUAGGUGGGACAGCAAAAAGCAAGGUCCGACUGUGCGUGUGGACAGCAGGCAGCGAUGGCUGUUUACAGACCGUCUUUUGUCCACGAGUUACAUCUGCAGGCAACAAGUCCGUGUGGAAGGCAGCCCCAAGGGGGGCCCAAGGGCUCUGCUUUCUGGAAAUCCAAGCCCUCCUGCCACUGUAUCGGGGCUGUUCUGCGUGGUUAAGGGCAGCAGGGGGACAGGCGUGCCUGAACACGGAGGAGCCCCC
ensembl:lncRNA